CCUUGGGUCAUCUUGAAGGUGGUUUUUGUAACUUUUUCUUCAGAAAACAGUGUUGGUGUCACCUCCUGCUCUCUCGGGGUGUUGGGAAUUUCUCUGAGAUGAUCCCAGGUUGAGUUUCCUGUUGCCAAAAACUCACCACAGCCCCCGGGUGCUGGUUUGGAAACAACCUUUGGCUUCUGUUCCUGUAACUCCCCUUGUGCCGUCGAGGGUUUGGGUUGGGUUUUCUUUUGCGUUGAGUGGCCGUGUCCCUCCGUGGUGGCACCUGGUGCCUCGGGGUCGGUCGGGGACCCUCCGUGCCCGGUUUUUUUCCAGACCCACAGGUCGGUUUGGUGGAGGCAGAAGGGAUGGUGACACGGGGGACAGGCUGGAGCAGAGCACGGGCUCAUCCUCUUGCCUCCACCCCAUCCCUGGUUGAACCCCAACCCAUCUCUCUUCUCCUCGUGUCCACCCAUCCCUUGACACGUGCCAGAGAGACGGAGCUUCCCCUUUCCCAUCCCCACCUGGUGGGUGUCAUCCCUCGGCAGGGACCCUCCUCGCAGCCCCUUGGGAAGGCUGGGAGGUGUUUGACAAUUUUCUCUUUUUUGUUUGGUUUUCUUUUUAUGAUUUUUUUUCUUUUUUUUUCGCUCGUCCAAGUUCUGCUGGCACUUUCGCAGGGGUGUUCGCAGCAUGAGAAAUGGCCAUGAUUUUCCUGCCUGUGUUUGGUACCUAUCGUGUGAUACUUGAAGAGAUCAGGGGUGUUUUGCCCUUUUGUUUGAGUCAGCUCUUUAUUAUUAUAAUUAUUAUAAUUAUCUCUUUUUUUUUUUCUCCUUUUUUUUUUUUUUUUUCUUUUUCCUCCUCUUUUUCUUGCGUUGUUGAUGUAGUGGGCACAUCUGCCACCCUGACAAAAAUGCCUCUUCUCUAAGAGUAUAACCUCUCCAAUAGUUGUGUAUAAUGAAAGAACUGUAAACUUUUUUUAAAAUAAAAUAUGUAUAUACCUUGAA